rnacentral:rRNA from 1 species
UACGGAGGAUCCAAGCGUUAUCCGGAUUUAUUGGGUUUAAAGGGUGCGUAGGCGGUUUGAUAAGUUAGAGGUGAAAUACCGGGGCUUAACUCCGGAACUGCCUCUAAUACUGUUGAACUAGAGAGUAGUUGCGGUAGGCGGAAUGUAUGGUGUAGCGGUGAAAUGCUUAGAGAUCAUACAGAACACCGAUUGCGAAGGCAGCUUACCAAACUAUAUCUGACGUUGAGGCACGAAAGCGUGGGGAGCAAACAGG